rnacentral:rRNA from 1 species
GGGGAUCGAAAGACCUUAUGCUUUUGGAGCGGCCGAUGUCUGAUUAGCUAGUUGGUAGGGUAAAGGCCUACCAAGGCGACGAUCAGUAGUUGGUCUGAGAGGAUGGCCAGCCACACUGGGACUGAGACACGGCCCAGACUCCUACGGGAGGCAGCAGUGGGGAAUUUUGGACAAUGGGCGCAAGCCUGAUCCAGCAAUGCCGCGUGAGUGAAGAAGGCCUUCGGGUUGUAAAGCUCUUUCAGUUGAGAAGAAAAAAACGUGAAUAAUACGCGCGUUUUAUGACGGUAUCAACAGAAGAAGCACCGGCUAACUACGUGCCAGCAGCCGCGGUAAUACGUAGGGUGCGAGCGUUAAUCGGAAUUACUGGGCGUAAAGGGUGCGCAGGCGGUUCUGAAAGUCAGAUGUGAAAUCCCUGGGCUUAACCUAGGAAUUGCGUUUGAAA